CUGCAUGUACUUUGAGCCACACAACAAUCUCAGAAAUACGUGUCAUCAAAGGAAGGAAAGCAGUAAGAUGGUGGCACAACGUCAUUUCUGUAGGCUGGAGCCGCAUCUAUUCACCAAGGUACUUACAAGUUCAUAGUUACAAGACAAUGGAUCUCCUGAAGUCUGGAAAAUGGCCCUGUAUUCUGUUUGGGAGUCCUGGAGUGUAUGGCUGACUGGGAGCCAUGGCUUGCUGCUGCUGGCCCAGACCACAAAAGAAUAUCAUACCACAUACAGCUAGCCCAGGAGAAGAUCCACAUUCAAAGUGUUGGUUCUCCUGGACACAUACUGCUCUCUCACCAUGGUAGUAAGAGACUCAUAAGUCAAGCCAUGAUAAGUUGGGGACCAUCUGCAUUUGUUUUAGGAUCACUUUUGGAGAUUGAACCUGGGGCCUUGUGCACACUGGGUAAGCACUCUAUAACUGAAC